UAAUUACUUACCUGGUUCUCGUACUAAGG
rnacentral:piRNA from 1 species